CUGAGGCCGAAGAAUCGCUUGAGCCCAGGAGGCGGAGGUUGCAGUGAACUCAGACUGCACCACUGCACUUCAGCCUGGGCAACAAAGCAAGACUCCAUCUCAAAAACAAAGCAAAACAAAAACAAAAAACAUUAUUUCAGAGAACUUAAGAUAACUUCAUCAACAUUUUUGGCCCUUCCUCCUCCCCUUCUUUUGCUGAACAAUUCAGUCAUAAGCCAUUAGAUAGAGCCCCCAACAUGAACAUCUGUGCCAGGACUGGAGAAGGAGCUGUGGUGUGCUAGAAAUGGAUGAUGGAGACAGGCAGAAUGAGAAUGGAAGAAAAAUAGAUAGAAAAAUAUAUAAUUGUAUCAAGCCCAUGAAGCUAAGUAAAGCAUGGUGAAGGGAUUAAGGUCAGGGGAGAGUGCUAUUUCAGAUGGCCAAAGGAGAAGAAGGCCUAUCUGCAAAAGUAACACUUGAGUGAAGACCUGAAAGGAAGAAAGGAGCCACAAGAAGAACAGAAGGAAGAGUAUUUCAGGCAGAGGACAAUACAUAUAAAGGCUAAGGUGAGUACAUGCUAGGUGUGUUUGACAAACAAGGAGGUCACUGUGACUGGAGUAUAGUGAGGGAGGCAGAGUGAUUUGAGAUGUCCAAAAGGUAAGUAGGGGGCAGACAGACAGACAAUACCACAGUCCUGGUGGGGCACGGUAAGGAACACUGGAUUUGGAGUGAGAUGUGCAGCAAAUGGUAGGUUCCGAGCAGAGUCAUGUGCUAUGAUCUGACUUGUAUCAAAAUUAAAUGAUUCCUCUGGCUGCUGUGUGGAGAACAGACUACAGAGGCCAGGAGUGAAAAAUGAAGACACCAACUAAAAGGCUACUGCAACUGACCAGUUUCAGUGCAAAGACAGGAUGUGAAAGCAGGGAGAGAAUUAAAGACAUCUCCAAGGCUUCUGGUCCAAGCAACUAGAAAAAUGGAAUUGUUAUGAACUGAAAUGAGGCUGACUGAGAAACAGAUAAAGGAGUAAAAUUACUGACAUGCUGAAGAGCCAACUCGACGAAACAUGCAAAGAAAUUCUAGGAAUGCAGCUUGAUCAACAGUGUUCCAAAGAAACAUCAACAUAAAACUAUUUGUGAAGAAACAAAUACAAUGUUUAAAGAAGGUAUCUGAAGGAAACCACGCUCCUUGGAGAAAUGGUGUUUCCAAGUCUUGGCAGAAAAAUACAAGGUGAAAGGGGAACAUCUUACUGUGUCAGAAAGCAAAAAAGCUAUCAAAGAUUAGGUUGUGUCAAAGGAUGUAGAAGUCAGCUUAACGGUUUCCCACUGAUCAAAGAUGAACAACUUGGGCAUCAAAGAGAAUGGCAGAUUGAAACACAAACAUUAUAAAAAUUCAAGGCUGGGUGUGGUGGCCUCAUACCUGUAAUCCCAGCACUUUGGGAAGCUGAGGCAAGCGGAUUGCUUGAGCCCAUGAGGUUGAGAUCAGCCUGAGCAAUGUGGUGAAACCCUAUCUCUACAAGAAAAAUACAAAAAUUAGCCACCAGGCAUGGUAGCAUGUGCCAGUAGUCCUAGCUACUCAGGAGGCUGAGGCUGCAGGGAGCUGAGAGCUCCACUGCACUCCAGACUGGGCAACAGAUCCAGACUUGUCUUAAAAAAAAAAAAAGAAAAAGAAAAAGAAAAGAAAAGAAAAUUCAAGAGUUCAAAUAAAACAACACUGAUCACCUCCAUGAUUGCUAGGGUUUCAACUUAAUAUUCUAAAAUCUAGUAAACGGAAGAAUCAGGCAUUUUUUUCUUCUGUUUCCUCCACCAAUGUUAUUGUAGUUGUAUCCAGAGAGUUUACAAGGACACGUUCUUUGCAAGAAUUCCAGUUUGGAAGAAAAGAAUGCAGGACAGAUAUACAAAGUCACCAAAUUAUAAUCCAUAAUGAAAUAAUAAAUGAUUAUCCUUGGCUGUUAAAAACCAUAGAUAAAAGACUGAUAGAGAACUUUAUAUUGGAUGGGUUAGGCUGGCAACACCUAACAUUUUAACAUCAUCAAUUUUAACAUUACUGAAAGUGGGACAAAGCCUCCUACUAGAAGCUAGUAGGAAGUACAUCUAAUAAUAUGAAUAUUAUUCCCCUAAAAGAGAACUGAAUCUAAUCAGUCCUCUAGAUCUAACUGCGAGGUUAUAGGAAAUACAAGGGCCAGAAAAAAAUGUAAAAAAAGACCACAAAGAUGCAAUCAACUAAAUUCAAAAUAUGGAAAAUUCUACAAGACCUAGUCUCUUCAAUAAAUAAUGACAAGAAAAAAAGAGGACAGGAAAUUGUAGUAGGCUAAAAGAAACUUAAAAGACUCACUUUAAUGUAAUAUUGUAGACCUUGUUUGGAUUCCGAUUUGAACAAAUCAAAACAGUAUUUUUUCCAGAAUUGGGCAAUAUGAAUACAGACUGGAUAUUAAUGACUUAUUUUUUAUUUAGUUAAGUAUGAUAAUGAUAAUGUGGUUUUGUUAAAAAGAGAUAAAAUAUUUUCUAUAAGAAUAAAGCAUGACAUACAUACAGCAAUUUAAUUAGUAGAUUAAUAUGUAAAGAAAUACUUUGACAUAUACAUAGUUCCUUUCCAACAACAUUUCAUUUUUUUGGUAGAUACAAGCUGAGCAUCUCUGCUCUGAAAAUCUGAAAUGCUCCAAAAUCUGAAACUUUUUGAAUGCCUAUAUGACACCACAAGUGGAAAAUUCUACACCUGACUUCAUGUGAUGUUUGAAGUCAAAACUCAGUCAAAACUUUGUUUUAUGAACAAAAUUAUUAAAAAUAUCAUGGAAAAUUACCUUCAGGCUAUAUGUAUAAGGUGUGUGUGUGUGUGUGUGUGUGUAUACAUGUAUGUAUAUAAAAAUUAAUGUAAUGUUUAGUCCUGGGUGCCAUCCCUAAGGUAUCUAAUUAUGUAUAUACAAAUAUUCCAAAAUCUGAAAAAGUCCAAAUCUAAAACACUUCUGGUCUGAAGGCUUUCAGAUAAGGGAUAUUCAACUUGUAUUAGAAUUCCAAAUCACUAAAAACACUCUCACCCAACUUCCUACCUUUAAAGGAGGGUAUUAAGGAUACCUCAGUUGAGUAAAUGUCAAACAACUAAGUUUUGUUUUUGUUUCCUGAUGUUUUUCCAUUUAUAAAGUAAACAUACACUUCACAUAUAAUACUUUAAAAUAUCACAAAUGUAUAAUUAUGUCACCAUAAAUACAGUAUUAAAAACUUACAAAACAGCAGAGCUGAGGAGCAAGCACAUUUCAUCAUCCUCUUCUUGAAGCACUGAACUUAUUUUCUUUCCUGUAGCUUUACUUAUAGAUGUCUUGAGUUUCUUAGCUAGCUUUUUUGGUGUGUUGGUUAUAGAAGAUUCUUCUGUACAGCAACUAUACACUUCCACCUUUAUCUGAAAGUCUGGCCCUGCUUCAUUACUAAAAACAAGGGCAUUCAUAAUGUUGGAAAUUUAACUCAGUAGAAAAUAAAAUUAUACCAUUCUUUUAUGUUUAUGUAACAUUUAAAAUCAGCAUUUAACAUCAGGAAAAUGCAAAUUAAAACCACUAUGAGAUACUACUUCACACCCAUAAGGAUGGCUAUUAUCAAAAAGGCAUGAGAUAAAUUGUUGACGAGGGUAUGGAGAAAAGGGAACCCUAGUACACUGCUGGCGGAGUCAUUAUGGAAAGCAGUAUAGAGGUUCCUAAAGAAAUUAAAAGGGAAACUACUACAUGAUCCAGCAGUCCUUCUUCUGGGUUUAUACUGGAAGGAGUAAAAUCAUUACCUUGUGAAGUUAUCUGCACUCCCCUGUUCAUUGCAGCAUUAUUCACAAUAGCCAAGAUAUUGAAGAAACUAUAAGAAUGCAGCAUUAUUCACAAUCGCCAAGGUAUGUCCAUCAAUGGUAAAACAGAUAAAGAAAAUAAGCUACGUGUGUAUACACACACACAACGGACAACCAUUCUGCCUUAAAAAAGGAGAUCUUGCCAUUUGCUACAACACGGAUGAACUUGGAGGAUAUUAAGUUAAAUAAGCCAAGCAUAGAAAUGAAAAUAUUGUGUGUUCUCAAUUAUAUGUGGAAUAUUAAAAAAAAAAGAGCUCAAAACCAUAGAAAUAGAGAAAAAAACAGUGGUUACCAUGGGCAAGGACUGGGGGAGAGGAAAUGGGGAGAUAUAGGUCAAAGGACACAAAAUAGCAGAUAUGUAGGAUGAAUAAGUUUAGAGAUAUAAUGUACUGUAAAAACAUGAGGUGAAUGUUAAUCAAAUCAUGUUAGAGAUUUUUGUUAAAUAGAUUUUAGCUGCUUUUGUCACAAAAAGUAACUAUGUGAGAUGAUAGAUGUUAAUCUGUUUGAUUAUAGUAACAUUUUACUAUUUAUAUGUAUCCUGUAACAUCGUGUUAUAAACCUCAAAUAUACACAAUAAAAUUUCUUUUUAAAAUAAAUAAAAGACUGCAGGGGAGCCAAGAGAAGAUUGCAAAAUCUCCUCAAUAAGUGCAAGGUUUAUGGGAAAAAAAAUAAGAAUUUGGAAUAAGUUUAUGUUAAUGUAUGUUAAUGAGACAGAAUCUCUCAGUGUUUAUUUAGCAUCUAAAUGGCCUGAGAGAGUUACCGCAACUUUCACAGAUAUCAGCUUCAAAACUAGGGCAAUCUUAACUCAAUUUAACCAAUAUAUACAUAGGCAUGUUAAAGAAAGCAUAAAAUACCCUGGUCAUUUUGUUGCCAAUACUAUUUCUCCUUGUCAUUCCUUUAAUACAUUUUUAAGGUAUUUAUAUGUGUAAUUUUCUGAAAUGACUGUUCUUCCAAAAAAAAUCUGCUAAACCUUUAGUUUUCAUUUCUUCUUUAUAAAGAGUCACUUAUAGUGCACUCGUCACUGUGUCCCCUGACCCUCCCCCACUUUUGUACCUAAUAACUAUAAAUAACAUUUUACUAUCUGGUUAUACAGGGGAAAAAUGUACUUCAAAGCAUGAACUCCUUGAGAAUGGGUGCUGUCUGGGUGAUCUUUGUGUUCUUAAUCUAGUAUUGGCCUGGAAUGUAGGAGGUAUUAGAUAUAUAUUUAUCAAAUAAAUACGCAAAAUUCUGCAAUUUUAGCAAAUGUUAAGAUUGGCUUUACCCUUUUUCAGACACAACGAACUACCUUUGAACUACCUUUAGCAUUAAAGACUGUGGUGGUGUUACUAACAAUAAAAUAUACUUAAGACUGCAAAAGAGGUCCAUCAGCAGCAGAUGUUACUUGCAGAUGGAAGAUCCAUCAGUUUCAGAGAUUUAAAAAAUGGAGCACAGACUUUUAAAGAUAUAAAUGGCCAAUCUAUAGUUUGAAAAAAUCCCAGGAAUAACUUCCAGCUAUUUUUAUAGUUUAUUAUUUGGCAACUUUUAAACAUGCAGUAUUCCUGGUAAUGACUAACAAAUGUCAAUAUUUAGAGAAAAACCAGAG
rnacentral:lncRNA from 1 species